AACGUACGCUGGCGGCACGCCUAACACAUGCAAGUCGAGCGAGGUAGCAAUACCUAGCGGCAGACGGGUGCGUAACAUGUGGGAAUCUGCCUUUUGGUUCGGAACAACACGGGGAAACCUGUGCUAAUACCGGAUAAGUCCUUACGGAGAAAGUUUUAAUGCCAAAAGAUGAGCCCGCAUUUGAUUAGCUAGUUGGUGAGGUAAAAGCUCACCAAGGCGAUAAUCAAUAGCUGAUUUGAGAGGAUGAUCAGCCACACUGGGACUGAGAUACGGCCCAGACUCCUACGGGAGGCAGCAGUGGGGAAUCUUGCACAAUGGGCGAAAGCCUGAUGCAGCGAUGCCGCGUGAGUGAAGAAGGCCUUUGGGUUGUAAAGCUCUUUUGUCGGGAAAGAUAAUGACUGUACCCGAAGAAUAAGGUCCGGCUAACUUCGUGCCAGCAGCCGCGGUAAUACGAAGGGACCUAGCGUAGUUCGGAAUUACUGGGCGUAAAGAGUAUGUAGGCGGCUAGAUAAGUUAAUUGUGAAAGCCCAAAGCUUAACUUUGGAAUUGCAAUUAAAACUAUUUAGCUGAAGUAUGAUAGAGGAAAGCGGAAUACAUAGUGUAGAGGUGAAAUUCGUAGAUAUUAUGUAGAACACCAGUUGCGAAGGCGGCUUUCUGGAUCAUUACUGACGCUGAGAUACGAAAGUAUGGGUAGCGAAGAGGAUUAGAUACCCUCGUAGUCCAUACCAUAAACGAUGAUUAUUAGAUGUGGGGAAUUAUUUCUCUGUAUCAUAGCUAACGCGUUAAAUAAUCCGCCUGGGGAGUACGACCGCAAGGUUAAAACUCAAAUGAAUUGACGGGGACCCGCACAAGCGGUGGAGCAUGUGGUUUAAUUCGAAGCAACGCGCAGAACCUUACCAACCCUUGACAUGUUCGUCGCGAGACUAAGAAAUUAGUCUCU
rnacentral:rRNA from 1 species